rnacentral:lncRNA from 1 species
UCUUUCUAAAGAUACCAACUUUGCCAAAAUAUGAUACCCAAGCAAUAAGUUCUGGCUAUUUUCAUGACUAAGACAGUAGCAUCACGCGUUUAGCGUGCGAUGCAUGCUCUGUCGCAUGCUCUGUCACAUGUACCUAAUUUCUAGGUCCUGUUUUCAUCUUUUUAAGGGCACAAGUGAUAUUUUCCAUCCCCUAUUCAGCUAUAGCAUGAGAUUAAAUCCCCCAAACAUCAAAAUAAGGUCAUUCUCUCUCAAAAUCACCAAGAACACUUCUUAUGGUUUCAACCCA